GAUGCUGAGUUCUCUAAAUUGCUUUAUGUGAGAUGUAACACAAAACCACAUGUUCACCACUACAGGAAUAGUGUGGAAAACCAGGUGGUAAUAAGGGUCUGCCAACCAAGACAAGGAACUCCAGAAAACUAUUAUUGAUGAUCACAGCAAAACCUCUGCAGAAAUUUCACAUCUGCUGAAGCCCAUGGCAUUUGCCUAGUACUGCCAAAGGAAAAAAUAAUGUCUUCUGGUCUCCAUUCCACCUUCAAAAUCAUGCUCCAGUGCACCUUGUUGUUAGAACAUAAAUUGUAUUCUAUUCCACAGAGUCAAGAGAAUCUAGAGAAUUUGAUUUCUAAAUUCCCAGCUCCUUCAAAACAGAAGAAACCUUAGAAGGGUUUUGCUGCUUGCAAAAUGAAAUUAAACCUGCACACUUAUUUCUGUUCUCUUAAUAAAGACUUUGAAGAGAUUAAUUCAUGAUA
rnacentral:lncRNA from 1 species